CUCACACAACGACACUGCGUAACAUGUAAAAACUGCAAAUUUGCCUAUAUUCGACCCCUGAAAAAAGGUCGGUACCCAGACGCCUUAAACAGGUGUAAAAUUAAAUAAACUAAAAUAAAUCAACUAAUAAUUAAAAAAUUGGAUUUAAAUAAGUGAUACGGUCACAUUUUGUGCACAAAUCUUGGUUCAGUUAAUAACAUUUAACAGCUUGGUCAGCAUUUAUGCUUAUUACAGAUAGAUAUACAGGAACCCGCUGUCAAUGUUAAUAUACACAUUUUUACAGAAAACUGUUUGUGAAAAUGUAGUGCAACAAGCAGUUGAGACCUACCAUAUGAAUGUUUAACAUCUAAUUAAUAUUAUUUGAACUUAUUAUUAUUAUUUAAUUGUGAUUUAAAAAAUUAUAAUUCUCAUAAUGUUUAUAGCACAUUGUCAUCUCCCUGAUGUACAUUUUCAACAUAUCUUGAAUCCAUAGAUUAUUAUUUUAUUUUAUUUUAUUAUUAAUAAACCUUAUUAUUUGAUUCCA